rnacentral:rRNA from 1 species
UAGUCCACGCCGUAAACGAUGAUCACUCGUUGUUGGCGAUACACAGUCAGCGACCAAGCGAAAGCAUUAAGUGAUCCACCUGGGGAGUACGGUCGCAAGAUUGAAACUCAAAGGAAUUGACGGGGGCCCGCACAAGCGGUGGAACAUGUGGUUUAAUUCGAUGAUACGCGAGGAACCUUACCUGGGCUUAAAUGCAGGACGACGGACCGGGAAACUGGUCUUUCUUCGGACGGACUGCAAGGUGCUGCAUGGUUGUCGUCAGCUCGUGCCGUGAGGUGUCGGGUUAAGUCCCAUAACGAGCGCAACCCUUAUCGUUAGUUACCAGCGAGUAAUGUCGGGGACUCUAACGAAACUGCCGGUGUAAACCGUGAGGAAGGUGGGGAUGACGUCAAAUCAGCACGGCCCUUAUGUCCAGGGCUACACACGUGUUACAAUGGCCGAUACAAAGGGCAGCUACCGGGCGACCGGAUGCUAAUCUCCAAAAUCGGUCUUAGUUCGGAUCGGAGUCUGCAACUCGACUCCGU